UACGAGGGGAGCAAGCGUUGUUCGGAUUUACUGGGCGUAAAGGGCGCGUAGGCGGUCGUGCCAAGUCACUUGUGAAAUCUCCGGGCUUAACUCGGAACGGUCAAGUGAUACUGUCGGACUAGAGUACAGAAGGGGCAACUGGAAUUCUCGGUGUAGCGGUGAAAUGCGCAGAUAUCAGGAGGAACACCGGUGGCGAAGGCGGGUCUCUGGGCCGUAACUGACGCUGAGGAGCGAAAGCGUGGGGAGCGAACAGG
rnacentral:rRNA from 1 species